GCCCGGGUGGCGGAAUUGGCAGACGCGGGGGGCUUAAACCCCCCUGGCUCUCACGAGUCGUGUGGGUUCGAGCCCCACCCCGGGCA
rnacentral:tRNA from 1 species